AUGUCUUUACACUCGGGGCCAGCACGUGGACCUUGCACUGCUGCUGGUAGGAGCGCCUCUGUUCCUGUUCCAGUGCAGGUUGCCCAUGAACUCAAGGGUCCAGACGCGAUUGUUUUUGGUGCAGAGGUAGAGCAGGUGCACUUAGUGGCGAAUGAGCUUGAUGCAGGACGGGUCCAGCUGCUUCUUGCCCAGGGAGUCGCUGCAGCUGUGCUGCUUGUGCAGGUUGUCAUGGGUGAAGAGCUUGGGGAAUAGGGGCACCAGCAGGCGCGAGGUGAAGUUGCCGAUGGACAGGCUGCUCUCGUAGAUACUGUGAAGAUGCUCGUUGCUGAGCAGGCCGUCGGCGCCGGGCACCUCCAAGUUGGGCUGGGGAUCUCCAAUUUGACCAAGUCGAUAGGUACCAGUCAGAUCUUCUUGGAGCGGCACCGCUCGCCCUUGAAGCUAUCCUCCACCCUGAUUACUGAGAUGUCAUCGGGCAGGCUGGAGGAGUUGUAG
rnacentral:lncRNA from 1 species